CCUACGGGAGGCAGCAGUGGGGAAUUGUUCGCAAUGGGCGAAAGCCUGACGACGCAACGCCGCGUGGAGGACGAAGGUCUUCGGGUCGUAAACUCCUGUCGAGCGGGAAGAAUAGCGCAUGGGUUAAUACCCUGUGUGCCUGACGGUACCGCGAGAGGAAGCCCCGGCUAACUCCGUGCCAGCAGCCGCGGUAAUACGGAGGGUGCAAGCGUUGUCCGGAUUUAUUGGGUUUAAAGGGUGCGUAGGCGGUUGCUUAAGUCAGUGGUGAAAGUCCUGGGCUCAACCGAGGGAUUGCCAUUGAAACUGAGCAACUUGAGUACAUUAGAGGUAUGCGGAAUUUAUGGUGUAGCGGUGAAAUGCAUAGAUACCAUAAAGAACACCGAUAGCGAAGGCAGCAUACUAUGUUGGAACAGACGCUGAGGCACGAAAGCGUGGGUAGCGAACAGGAUUAGAUACCCUGGUAGUCCACGCAGUAAGCGGUGAACACUAGGUGUAGCGGGUAUUGACCCCUGCUGUGCCGCAGCUAACGCAUUAAGUGUUCCGCCUGGGAAGUACGGCCGCAAGGCUAAAACUUAAAGGAAUUGACGG
rnacentral:rRNA from 1 species